rnacentral:rRNA from 1 species
CUAAGAAUCUUCCGCAAUGGGGGAAACCCUGACGGAGCGACGCCGCGUGGACGAUGAAGGCCGUAAGGUUGUAAAGUCCUUUUGCAGGCGAAGAAUAAGGCGGGGAGUGGAAAGCCCUGCUGAUGACGUUAGCCUGCGAAUAAGCCCCGGCCAAUUACGUGCCAGCAGCCGCGGUAAUACGUAUGGGGCGAGCGUUGUUCGGAGUUAUUGGGCGUAAAGGGCGUGUAGGCGGCGCGCGGCGUCCGGUGUGAAAACGCAGGGCUCAACCCUGCGGUUGCGCUGGAAACGGGCGUGCUGGAGUCCCGGGGGGGAAGCUGGAAUUCCUGGUGUAGGAGUGAAAUCUGUAGAGAUCAGGAAGAACACCGGUGGCGAAGGCGAGCUUCUAUUCGAGGACUGACGCUGAGGCGCGAAAGCGUGGGGAGCAAACAGG